rnacentral:tRNA from 1 species
AGCAGCGUAGCAUAACGGUUAAUGCGCUAGCCUCAUAAGCUAGAAGAUAUGGGUUCAACUCCCAUCGCUGCCA